AGAGUUUGAUCCUGGCUCAGAUUGAACGCUAGCGGGAUGCCUUACACAUGCAAGUCGAACGGCAGCACGGACUUCGGUCUGGUGGCGAGUGGCGAACGGGUGAGUAAUGUAUCGGAACGUGCCUAGUAGCGGGGGAUAACUACGCGAAAGCGUAGCUAAUACCGCAUACGCCCUACGGGGGAAAGCAGGGGAUCGCAAGACCUUGCACUAUUAGAGCGGCCGAUAUCGGAUUAGCUAGUUGGUGGGGUAACGGCUCACCAAGGCGACGAUCCGUAGCUGGUUUGAGAGGACGACCAGCCACACUGGGACUGAGACACGGCCCAGACUCCUACGGGAGGCAGCGGUGGGGAAUUUUGGACAAUGGGGGAAACCCUGAUCCAGCCAUCCCGCGUGUGCGAUGAAGGCCUUCGGGUUGUAAAGCACUUUUGGCAGGAAAGAAACGUCAUGGGUUAAUACCCCGUGGAACUGACGGUAUCUGCAGAAUAAGCACCGGCUAACUACGUGCCAGCAGCCGCGGUAAUA
rnacentral:rRNA from 1 species